rnacentral:tRNA from 1 species
GAGGGUAUAACUCAGUGGUAGAACACAUGCUUAGCAUGCAUUAGGUCCUGGGUUCAAUCCCCAGUAUCUCCA